rnacentral:pre_miRNA from 1 species
GCCUCGAUCUGUUGAGUGCUGACAGAAGAGAGUGAGCACACAUAGCAGGAGCUCAUGAGACUAUGAGUUCAGCCAUGCGUGCUCACGUCUCUUUCUGUCAGCGGCUCAUCGGGAGCGAUCUCAGGC